CGAGCGAACAGGGAAAAGCCCAGCACUGAAUCCCGCGGUCCGAGCGAUCGCCGGGAAAUGUAGUGUUAGGAAGGGUCCGUUAUCUUCGCGCACGUCGACUCGUCCAAGUCCAUCUUGAACGGGGCCACAACCCAUAGAGGGUGCCAGGCCCGUAGGACGGAGACGGUCGCGGAGAGGAUCACUUCCGAGAGUCGGGUUGCUUGAGAGUGCAGCCCUAAGUGGGUGGUAAACUCCAUCUAAGGCUAAAUAUGACCACGAGACCGAUAGCGAACAAGUACCGCGAGGGAAAGUUGAAAAGAACUUUGAAGAGAGAGUUCAAUAGUACGUGAAACCGUUCAGGGGUAAACCUGAGAAACCCGAAAGGUCGAACGGAGAGAUUCAUUCGCGGUACGGGCGGUGAUCUAGAGCGUCGGGAUGACGCGUCGCUCCUAGCGAGCGAUGCGCCCCUUCGUCUCGGAUCAGUCGUCGAACGCGUGCACUUCUCUCCUAGUAGGACGUCGCGAUCCGUUGAGUGCCGGUCGAAGGGUCCGCGAGGAAGCCCGCGAACGCGAUGCAAAUCGUCGUUUGCGGACCUGCGGUCUCCUGUCCGGCCGCUCGACGGUGUACAGACGGUGAGAGACCGCGAUUUUCGCGCCCGGUCGGUCGCAAACGCGCUUUAUGCGUCGGCUUUCGGUAUUACCGUUUGUGCCGGCCUCUAGCGGUUGUUGGCGAUCGUAUUCUCGGGCAGAUCUCUUUUUAACCGAUCUGCGACGCUACAGCUUUGGGUACUCUCAGGGCCCGUCUUGAAACACGGACCAAGGAGUCCAGUGUGUACGCGAGUCAUUGGGUCCAAUUAAACCUAAAGGCGUAAUGAAAGUAAAGAUCCGUCAGGAUCCAGGGAAGAUGACCGAACAUUACGUUCGGUCCGCACUCCCGGGGUGUCUCUAUCUUUUAUUAGAUGAGGCGCACCAAGAGCGUACACGCUGGGACCCGAAAGAUGGUGAACUAUGCCCGGUCAGGACGAAGUCAGGGGAAACCCUGAUGGAGGUCCGUAGCGGUUCUGACGUGCAAAUCGAUCGUCUGAACUGGGUAUAGGGGCGAAAGACUAAUCGAACCAUCUAGUAGCUGGUUCCCCCCGAAGUUUCCCUCAGGAUAGCUGGCGCUCGAUACGAUUCUCAUCCGGUAAAGCGAAUGAUUAGAGGCAUUGGGGUCGAAACGAUC
rnacentral:rRNA from 1 species